AUUGAACGCUGGCGGCAUGCUUUACACAUGCAAGUCGAACGGUAACAGGCCUUCGGUUGCUUACUAGUUGCGGACGGGCGAGUAAUGCAGCGGAACGUAGCCAGAUGUGGGGGGUAACGCAGCGAAAGCUGUGCUAAUAACCCAUUUGAUCUUAGGGUGAAAGCGGGGAACCGGGCGGCAAUGUUUGGCCUCGCGCCUUUGGAUGCGCCGAUGUCGGAUUAGCUAGUUGGGGGGGUAAAGGCCCACCAAGGCGACGAUCCCUAGCCGGUGUGAGGGGAGGAACAGCCACACUGGGACUGAGACACGGGCCAGACUCCUACGGGAGGGAGCAGGGGGGAAUAUUGCACAAUGGGCGCAAGCCUUAUGCAGCCAAGCCGCGUGGAGGAAGAAGGCCUUCGGGUUGUAAAGUACUUUUAGCGGGGAGGAAAGGGGUAACGUUAAUACCCGGACGCAAUGACGGUACCCUCAGAAAAAGCACCGGCUAACUCCGUG
rnacentral:rRNA from 1 species